AUUCUGCAUUUUAAUGCUGGUACUUACAGUUGUAUUCAGUCCAUCCAAUGGUACUAUUUUCGAGAUCAUAUACUACUAGCUUAUUUGAUAAGACU